GACGAACGCUGGCGGCGUGCUUAACACAUGCAAGUCGAGCGGUAAGGCCCUUUCGGGGUACGACGAGCGGCGAACGGGUAGGAGUAACACGUGGGUGGACCUCGCCCUCCAGCUCUGGGAGUAAGACCUCGGGAAACCGGGGUACCGUAAUAACUGGAGUAUGACUCCAUGACGCAUGUUGUGGGGUGGGAAAGACCUUG
rnacentral:rRNA from 1 species